rnacentral:ncRNA from 2 species
CUCACGGCCCUGCACCGCGGAUCCGAAUCCGGGGGUCGGGUUCCGCGCCUGGAGUCCGCCUCGUGGUUCUGAGUCCGGGUCGGAUUCCGUGCCUGGAGUCCGCCCCGCGGGCCUGCAUCGUGGUUCCAAGUCCGGGUCC